AACGAACGCUGGCGGCAUGCCUAACAUAUGCAAGUCGAACGAGACCUUCGGGUCUAGUGGCGCACGGGUGCGUAACGCGUGGGAACCUGCCCUUAGGUUCGGAAUAACUCCCCGAAAGGGGUGCUAAUACCGGAUAAUAUCUUCGGACCAAAGAUUUAUCGCCUUUGGAUGGGCCCGCGUUGGAUUAGCUAGUUGGUAGGGUAAAAGCCUACCAAGGCGACGAUCCAUAGCUGGUCUGAGAGGAUGAUCAGCCACACUGGGACUGAGACACGGCCCAGACUCCUACGGGAGGCAGCAGUGGGGAAUAUUGGACAAUGGGCGAAAGCCUGAUCCAGCAAUGCCGCGUGAGUGAUGAAGGCCUUAGGGUUGUAAAGCUCUUUUACCCGGGAUGAUAAUGACAGUACCGGGAGAAUAAGCUCCGGCUAACUCCGUG
rnacentral:rRNA from 1 species